UUUCAAAUUGAGAGUUUGAUCCUGGCUCAGGACGAACGCUGGCGGCGUGCCUAAUACAUGCAAGUCGAGCGAGCUGAAUUCAAAGAUCCCUUCGGGGUGAUUUGUUGGAU
rnacentral:rRNA from 1 species